CCUCCCCCACCCCCACCUCCACCACCAUCAGACCUGACAGCGGCGGGCAGUUUAACGCACGGCGUGUCAGACAGUGAUGCAUCGGAGACAGCGCCGUGUUUUCCCUGGACGGCGUUCCCGACCUCGCCGCGUUUCCUCCAAGGUCGGCACAAUUAACGGGACCAGACGCUUCCUCUGGGAACGCCGAGCCGGUGACGGUUCCUCUGGGAACGCCGAGGAGGUGGACGGUUCCUCUGGGAACGCCGAGGAGGUGGAUGGUUCCUCUGGGAACGCUGAGGAGGGGACGGUUCCUCUGGGAACGCCGAGGAGGUGGACGGUUCCUCUGGGAACGCCGAGGGGGUGGACGGUUCCUCUGGGAGUGCCGAGGAGGUGGAUGGUUCCUCUGGGAACGCGGAGGGGGUGGAUGGUUCCUCUCGGAACGCCGAGGGGGCGGAUGGUUCCUCUGGGAACGCCGAGGGGGUGGAUGGUUCCUCUGGGAGUGCCGAGGAGGUGGAUGGUUCCUCUGGGAACGCCGAGGGGGUGGAUGGUUCCUCUGGGAACGCCGAGGGGGUGGAUGGUUCCUCUGGGAAUGCCGAGCUGCUGGGGAAGGGGGGGGGGGGGGUGGGGUUGUAAAUACUUGGCUGUAAUGAGAGUGAGCAGGAAAUGGUAGUUUGAGAAGGUUCUUGGUUUUCCUCGAUAAAUGAAUGGCCGGCCCAGAAGGUAGUCAGGUAGAAGUACAAACGUAUACUCUGCAUCCAGGAGUAAUGACAGCGAUUUCUGCCCAUUAAAGCGAUAGUGAGACUUCCCAUUUGGGCAAAGCUGUACCUAAUGUGGGUACUAAAACUAAAUGGAUACAUUUCCAGGAAAAGCAAUUGGAGGCGUUUGUUAAAAUGCCACAGCUUGUAUCUUAACUGUGAGUAUAAGAUGUGUGUACGUUUAGGUAUGAUAAAGAUAAAGGUGCAGUAUAGGCAAAACUGGCCUUUGAAAGACAUGGGAAUCCGCACACACACAGCAAUUACUUUCUCAAAAGCAAUAUGUGGCUUUGGGCAUUUCAUUAGAAGUGUGGAUAUUGAGAAAAACUAACUGACCAAUAAAAAUGAAGCAGUCAACAAUCAAAUUAAAGUCCUUUUCACUCUUUCCCCAACGGUAUUAGGAAUGAGUUAAUAAUAGCUUUAACUGGCUCACUGCAUACGCUGAAUUGACAUUGGUUUGUCAUGUAAAAGAUGCAAGUGCAUCAUGCAGAAAAGAGAUUGUAAAAUGGAUUUGUCACUUCGGAUAAGUCACGCAACAAACAUGCACCAUGAAAUAAUGGUUAAAUCAUUUUUAUGUAAUAUCGUCUAAUGUGUACGUCCAGUGCAAUGUGCUCGUGAAACGUUGUUACAUUAGGUUAGAACUUCUGCCAACAUUUCUCCUCCCAAAGUAAAGGGAAGAAAACGUGAAAAUGAAAAAGGCUGCUUUCUGGUUCUUCAGUGUGGUGGUCCAACAUCAAACUUGAACCGUCGUCACCUGAUUUAAAUUCAUAUUUUGUGGAGUGCUGCUCAAAGGUUGUCCUGCUUUGUAAAUAAGUCAGAUCUAACGGACUGUUUGUUUGCUUGUGUGUAUGUGCCGUCUGACAUAAAUCGCCACGAAUCACAAAUGUAUGCCAUAUCUAUAGGUCAUAUUUAUUUGCUAGUAGGACAAUGGAAAAUGAGUUUUUCUGUGGAUUUUAUUCAACUACUUUUGGUGACAUUCAGAGGGAACCUGAACGGAACCAAAGAGUGCUUGACUGUGCCUGAAGUAUCGCUUCUGCAAAAGAGAUUGUGAGUUUGAAGGACCAUUGCUGUUACGAAUGACAAUGAAUUGGAUUCUGCCUUUUUGGGAGCAUUAAUAAAAUGUUUUUGAAAAUCGACUUGUAAACACCACAGAGAGAAUGUACCUAUUUUUUGACAGCUCUUCAAUCCAAUAAAUCACCGGUCCUGUCACA
ensembl:lncRNA